rnacentral:rRNA from 1 species
AACGAACGCUGGCGGCAGGCCUAACACAUGCAAGUCGAGCGGACCCUUCGGGGUUAGCGGCGGACGGGUGAGUAACGCGUGGGAAUAUGCCCUUCUCUACGGAAUAGUCCUGGGAAACUGGGGGUAAUACCGUAUACGCCCUUUGGGGGAAAGAUUUAUCGGGGAAGGAUUAGCCCGCGUUGGAUUAGGUAGUUGGUGGGGUAAUGGCCUACCAAGCCGACGAUCCAUAGCUGGUUUGAGAGGAUGAUCAGCCACACUGGGACUGAGACACGGCCCAGACUCCUACGGGAGGCAGCAGGGGGGAAUCUUAGACAAUGGGGGAAACCCUGAUCUAGCCAUGCCGGGGGAGUGAUGAAGGCCUUAGGGUUGUAAAGCUCUUUCAGCUGGGAAGAUAAUGACGGUACCAGCAGAAGAAGCCCCGGCUAACUCCGU